UAGGGAAUCUUCCACAAUGGACGCAAGUCUGAUGGAGCAACGCCGCGUGAGUGAAGAAGGUUUUCGGACCGUAAAGCUCUGUUGUUGGUGAAGAAGGAUAGAGGUAGUAACUGGCCUUUAUUUGACGGUAAUCAACCAGAAAGUCACGGCUAACUACGUGCCAGCAGCCGCGGUAAUACGUAGGUGGCAAGCGUUGUCCAGGAUUUAUUGGGCGUAAAGCGAGCGCAGGCGAAGAAUAAGUCUGAUGUGAAAGCCCUCGGCUUAACCGAGGAAUUGCAUCGGAAACUGUUUUUCUUGAGUGCAG
rnacentral:rRNA from 1 species